rnacentral:rRNA from 1 species
UAGGGAAUCUUCCGCAAUGGGCGAAAGCCUGACGGAGCAACGCCGCGUGAGUGAUGAAGGUCUUCGGAUCGUAAAACUCUGUUAUUAGGGAAGAACAUAUGUGUAAGUAACUGUGCACAUCUUGACGGUACCUAAUCAGAAAGCCACGGCUAACUACGUGCCAGCAGCCGCGGUAAUACGUAGGUGGCAAGCGUUAUCCGGAAUUAUUGGGCGCAAAGCGCGCGUAGGCGGUUUUUUAAGUCUGAUGUGAAAGCCCACGGCUCAACCGUGGAGGGUCAUUGGAAACUGGAAAACUUGAGUGCAGAAGAGGAAAGUGGAAUUCCAUGUGUAGCGGUGAAAUGCGCAGAGAUAUGGAGGAACACCAGUGGCGAAGGCGACUUUCUGGUCUGUAACUGACGCUGAGGCUCGAAAGCGUGGGUAGCAAACAGGAUUAGAUACCCUGGUAGUCCACGCCGUAAACGAUGAGUGCUAAGUGUUGGAGGGUUUCCGCCCUUCAGUGCUGCAGUUAACGCAUUAAGCACUCCGCCUGGGGAGUACGACCGCAAGGUUG